CCUACGGGGGGCAGCAGUGGGGAAUCUUAGACAAUGGGGGCAACCCUGAUCUAGCCAUGCCGCGUGAACGAUGAAGGCCUUAGGGUUGUAAAGUUCUUUCAGCUGGGAAGAUAAUGACGGUACCAGCAGAAGAAGCCCCGGCUAACUCCGUGCCAGCAGCCGCGGUAAUACGGAGGGGGCUAGCGUUGUUCGGAAUUACUGGGCGUAAAGCGCACGUAGGCGGACUAUUAAGUCAGGGGUGAAAUCCCGGGGCUCAACCCCGGAACUGCCUUUGAUACUGGUAGUCUUGAGUUCGAGAGAGGUGAGUGGAAUUCCGAGUGUAGAGGUGAAAUUCGUAGAUAUUCGGAGGAACACCAGUGGCGAAGGCGGCUCACUGGCUCGAUACUGACGCUGAGGUGCGAAAGCGUGGGGAGCAAACAGGAUUAGAUACCCCCGUAGUC
rnacentral:rRNA from 1 species